ensembl:antisense Gm10069 predicted gene 10069
CAAAAAUGCCAUGAGCAGAUUUAUAAGAGCCAUAGACUUGUAAGUGGAGGUGAAUAGGAAGGAAGGUUUUCUCAACCUGCUCGCUGCUCCUAUGAGAUGCCUGUGGAGUUCUGAGUCUGUGUGGCUAAAACCAUGAAGUUCUGAUUACCGGAACAGUGCUGGCUUGAUGGAAGAUCUGUCUGGAGAGGUCCUGACUCUGCCCAGCAGUUUAGUACCCAGUUAUACAGCCUGGGUCUCUCCACAGACCUGAGUGGAGGAGAAGCCCCCGUGGGAGUUUUGUUGCUUGCUGAUCCACUUCACAAUCUUGGAUGCUGUGGACAGGUCUGAUGAAGACAGGUCCCGUGUGGGCCGGGAAGACUCAGAGGUUAGAUAGGCGAGAAGCACGAGCGAUUACCUGAAAAAUGCUGUGUGCAUCAUUAUCGCCCAGAGAGUGCUUUGGCGUGUACACGAUCCCAUUGUGAGUGAUGUCUUCUCCGCUGAUGCAGUUCUCAUGGUCUUUGUACACUGGGACACCAAAGAAGGCACCCUGGACAGUCUUUCCUGGCAGCAAAUUGUAGAUCUGUGCAUUGGAGGAGAACAAAGGGCUGGACCUGGAGGCAAGAUGCAGAGGCUAACCAUAAAACCCGUGAGGCAUUCUCGAAGCCUGUACAUGAGGACGCUUCUCUGGAAACACAAAGGCAUUUUAAAGACAUGUUUGAGAAGAAACUGUUCUUGCCCACUCUUGAGACCAGUAAAGUGUCUGAUUUCAGGGAAAGCACAAAAGACCUAGCAUCUUACACAAUCACCUUGAGUUGUGGCCGGCUAGCAAAUGGACCAGACGAAAUUUAACUUCUCUAAAACGUAUUGUAGCAAAACUAACCCAUCCUAUUUGUGUGUUAUCAUUCGUAAAAUGAAGUGAUAAGACAGA